GUCUACAAAUAAUUUUAUUGAAACAACAAAAAACACAACAACAGCCUUCCUAGAUUGGGGGCCACCCUCCCCAAGCCAUUUCCCACACUCUUGAAGCACAGAGCUUGCACAGUAAGGAAUUAAAAAAAAAAAGUCAUAGUCAUUUCUAUGUAGAAAUCAGACUCUGCACCAACAACAUCAUAAACUAGACUAUUUACAAACUUUCACAUUUUAAGUAUUCCUUUGAUGGUUAUUCUCCUUUCUGUCCCUACCCAGGGUCGCCAGUACUUUCCCUUGACUGAUCCUGAAGGGAUGGGUAUACUGUAGGGGAAGGGAUGGUGGGCUCCUCAGAGCUACUGGCACCAGCCCUAGGGUGCUCUUCCUCACCAUAGGGUAGUGGAUGGUCUCCUCCCAAUGGGGGUCAUGGUGGGGCAGGG